UAUUACCAGAACACGAUUGGUGCUUUGCAU
rnacentral:piRNA from 1 species